UAUUUAUAAAUGGAACAAUUGUCUGCUUAGAUAGCUAUUGUCGGAAGAGUAAUGCAUAGAAUUGGCAUUGUUAUAAGCCAAAUAUCAACAAAGCAUUGAUCAUUCUCCUUUUGUGCUUUGGAAUUCGUGCCCAUCAUUCUGCUUUGCCAUUUGAAUGAUGACGCUACGUUUAUUCAUACCAUCCCUGAUCCGUCAUUGCCACUUGUUGCUACCCUAAAACUCUACCAACGCUCUGGAACACCAUCUCAUCGGUAUUUUCUAUCACGCCGCUCCC
rnacentral:lncRNA from 1 species